GGUGCGAAGCCAGUCACCCAGCGCAUUCCGCCGCCCGCAGGCUUGCGGGGAAACUUCCUUAUUAUUGUGACGCCGAAAACAGAGAAACCCCGGGUCCGGCGAGAGGGUCUGUGAUAGUCGGAGUCCCAAGCUGCGGUUCGGCUGCUGCCGAGAACUGCAAGGUGUGGAAUAUUUCUGGCAUCUAGUCCAAUGCCAAGUGUGUGACCUAUGGCUACAUGAUUCCCUGAAAGAUAAGAACAAUGUUAUGUUGGGGAUAUUGGUCUCUGGGCCAACCUGGUAUCAGCACCAACCUGCAGGGAAUUGUGGCUGAGCCCCAGGUGUGUGGAUUCAUAUCUGACAGAAGUGUCAAGGAAGUGGCCUGUGGGGGAAACCACUCUGUGUUCCUGCUGGAAGAUGGGGAAGUUUACACAUGUGGUUUGAACACCAAAGGGCAGCUGGGCCAUGAGAGGGAAGGAAACAAGCCAGAACAAAUCGGAGCUCUGGCAGAUCAGCAUAUCAUUCAUGUGGCAUGUGGCGAGUCCCACAGUCUGGCCCUCAGUGACCGAGGCCAGCUGUUUUCUUGGGGUGCAGGGAGUGAUGGUCAGCUAGGACUCAUGACUACUGAGGAUUCUGUGGCAGUGCCCAGGUUAAUACAAAAGCUGAACCAGCAAACAAUAUUACAAGUUUCCUGUGGCAACUGGCAUUGCUUGGCUCUUGCGGCUGAUGGCCAGUUCUUCACCUGGGGAAAGAACAGCCAUGGGCAGCUUGGCUUAGGGAAGGAGUUCCCCUCCCAAGCCAGCCCGCAGAGGGUGAGGUCCCUGGAGGGGAUCCCAUUGGCUCAGGUGGCUGCCGGAGGGGCUCACAGCUUUGCCCUGUCUCUCUCAGGAGCUGUUUUUGGCUGGGGGAUGAAUAAUGCAGGGCAGCUAGGGCUCAGUGAUGAAAAAGAUCGAGAAUCUCCAUGCCAUGUAAAACUCUUACGCACGCAAAAAGUUGUCUAUAUUAGUUGUGGAGAAGAACACACAGCAGUUCUCACAAAGAGUGGAGGUGUGUUUACCUUUGGCGCUGGUUCCUGUGGGCAACUUGGACAUGACUCCAUGAAUGAUGAGGUUAAUCCUAGAAGAGUUCUAGAGCUGAUGGGUAGUGAAGUAACUCAGAUUGCUUGUGGCAGACAACAUACCCUAGCCUUCGUGCCUUCUUCCGGACUCAUCUAUGCAUUUGGUUGUGGAGCAAGAGGUCAAUUAGGAACUGGGCACACUUGUAAUGUUAAGUGCCCAUCUCCUGUCAAGGGUUACUGGGCUGCCCACAGUGGCCAGCUUUCAGCCCGAGCUGACCGCUUUAAAUAUCAUAUCGUUAAGCAGAUCUUCUCUGGAGGAGACCAAACUUUUGUACUUUGCUCCAAAUACGAGAAUUCUUCUCCUGCUGUUGACUUCAGGACUAUGAACCAAGCACAUUAUACCAGUUUAAUAAAUGAUGAAACCAUAGCGGUUUGGAGACAAAAACUCUCAGAACACAGUAAUGCAAAUACAAUCAAUGGUGUUGUUCAGAUAUUAUCUUCUGCGGCCUGUUGGAAUGGAAGUUUUCUUGAAAAAAAAAUUGAUGAACAUUUUAAAACGAGUCCCAAAAUCCCUGGGAUUGACCUGAACUCAACUAGAGUGUUAUUUGAGAAGUUAAUGAACUCUCAGCACUCCAUGAUUCUAGAACAGAUUUUGAACAGUUUUGAAAGUUGUCUGAUUCCCCAGUUGUCAAGCUCACCACCAGAUGUUGAAGCCAUGAGAAUCUAUUUAAUACUACCUGAGUUUCCCCUACUCCAGGAUUCCAAGUAUUAUAUAACAUUGACUAUUCCCUUGGCUAUGGCCAUUCUUCGGCUGGAUACAAACCCCAGCAAAGUACUAGAUAACUGGUGGUCUCAGGUAUGCCCGAAAUAUUUCAUGAAGCUGGUAAACCUCUAUAAAGGUGCAGUCCUUUAUCUACUGAGGGGAAGAAAGACAUUCUUAAUUCCCGUACUGUUUAACAAUUAUAUUACAGCAGCUCUCAAACUCUUGGAGAAGUUAUAUAAGGUAAAUCUUAAAGUGAAGCAUGUGGAAUAUGAUACAUUUUACAUUCCUGAGAUUUCCAAUCUUGUGGACAUUCAGGAAGACUACCUCAUGUGGUUCUUGCAUCAAGCAGGGAUGAAGGCUAGACCAUCAAUAAUACAGGAUACUGUAACACUUUGUUCCUACCCUUUCAUCUUUGAUGCCCAAGCCAAGACCAAAAUGUUACAGACAGAUGCUGAACUACAGAUGCAGGUGGCAGUCAAUGGAGCCAACCUGCAGAAUGUCUUCAUGCUUCUCACCCUGGAGCCUCUGCUGGCCAGAAGCCCCUUCCUGGUCCUUCACGUUCGCAGGAACAACCUUGUUGGAGAUGCCCUAAGAGAGCUGAGCAUUCAUUCUGAUAUUGAUUUGAAAAAGCCUCUCAAAGUAAUCUUUGAUGGUGAAGAAGCAGUGGAUGCUGGUGGUGUUACAAAGGAAUUUUUUCUUUUGCUGUUAAAAGAACUUUUGAAUCCCAUCUAUGGAAUGUUUACCUACUAUCAAGAUUCAAAUCUCUUGUGGUUUUCAGAUACGUGUUUUGUAGAGCACAACUGGUUUCACUUGAUUGGUAUAACCUGUGGACUAGCUAUCUACAACUCCACUGUAGUUGAUCUCCACUUCCCAUUGGCUCUCUACAAGAAGUUACUCAACGUAAAGCCUGGCUUGGAAGACUUAAAGGAGUUGUCACCCACUGAAGGAAGGAGUCUCCAGGAGCUUUUAGAUUACCCCGGGGAGGAUGUGGAGGAGACUUUCUGCCUCAACUUCACGAUCUGCCGAGAAAGCUAUGGAGUGAUCGAACAGAAGAAGCUGAUACCUGGGGGAGAUAAUGUGACUGUGUGCAAGGAUAACAGGCAGGAAUUUGUGGAUGCUUAUGUGAAUUAUGUCUUCCAAAUCUCAGUUCAUGAAUGGUACACAGCCUUCUCUAGUGGCUUCCUAAAGGUGUGUGGUGGCAAAGUACUUGAGCUCUUCCAGCCUUCAGAACUGAGGGCUAUGAUGGUGGGGAACAGCAACUAUAACUGGGAAGAACUGGAAGAGACUGCCAUCUACAAGGGAGAUUACUCGGCCACACAUCCCACUGUAAAACUAUUUUGGGAAACAUUUCAUGAGUUUCCACUGGAAAAGAAGAAGAAGUUUCUCUUGUUCCUGACAGGCAGCGAUCGGAUUCCCAUCUACGGCAUGGCCAGUCUGCAGAUUGUCAUCCAGUCCACAGCCAGCGGGGAGGAGUACUUGCCGGUGGCCCACACUUGCUACAACCUUCUUGACCUCCCCAAGUACAGCAGCAAAGAGAUUCUGAGUGCCCGGCUGACCCAGGCCCUUGACAACUAUGAAGGGUUUAGUUUGGCCUGAGGCUCCUCAGCUUGUCCAAUAUUUCCCUUCGUUCCUCAAUGUCCACAUUGAGGCCUAUACAGAAAAUCAUGGGGAGUGAUUUCUAUUUUUUUAUUGUCUAAGUGGGUUGGGACUUUUAAAUACUGAGCCUGGUUGAUGUGUUUCUGGGAUUGUAUAGCAGUAAACAACCUUUUUGAAAAAUUAGAGGUUGGGGAUGGGGUGAAAAAUUGGCCCUUGUAUGGGAGGUGUUUUUGUUUUUGUUUUAAACCAAACUACCCAGUAUUCCUUGCACUUGUGAAUGUGUUGCACUCUGCUGGAUGAAAUGGCAGUGGAUUGUUAAACUUUAAUUUCCCAAAUGUCUCUCUCAGCCCUGAUCUUUUCUCACAGUGCUUCCUCGUUCUUCUCUUAACCUCUCAUUCCUCUAUAAGAAUGAUUUAGACUGACCCAUCCUUUCUUAUCUGCGCAUGCAAGAACAUCAUCUUCCUCUGUACACUUGGAAAUGCCUCUGGCUUGUUGCAGCCCUCCUUUAACCCAAAGGAGGAAAGGACUACUUCAGGAACUCCCAAUUCCAAAAAGCUGAGUCUGGGUCCAUUAUUUUGGCAGAACUCCUAAGAAUUUAUGGGAGCCUAUAUAAACAUAUCUUGCUUUUAAAAAGUUCUUGAGGGAAUAGCAACUUUCCCAUGGCUGUGCCUAUUUCCUAGACCUUUUAAAAGAUGUGCAGAGCAGCUUAGCAUUCAUUGCAGCUGAGCCUAAUUUUUUCUUGCUCAUCCUUGUCCCUUUGACAAUAAGGUUAAUUGAUAGACCCACCACCUCUUCCACUCUCGCUUUUGGAGCAAGUUGCAUUAACUAUUUUGAGUCUCUAUAUUGUCCAAGAAAAGUAGAAAUAAUAAAUUUACUUUCCCUUUUUCUAUCACCUUAUGUCCUCUACCAUUUUCUCCUUCCUCCUUUCCCUUAUUUUCUCCUUUUCAUACCCUGCGUCCUCCCUGAUUUUCCUUUCGUUUCUUCUUUAUUUUAUCCCAUUCUCUGUUACUUGACUCAGUGCUCCCUUCCUCUCUUCUCCUUCUAGUGGAUGCAUGCAGCCUUUUUUUCAAUUUUUAUUUAAAUUGCAAAAUUUUUACUCAGAUUUUUUUUCCUCUUCCCUGAUUGCUAAGAUUUAAGGACGUUCUUUAUUAUGAAACUUUAUCACAUUCGAAAUGUUUGUUUACAGUGGGAUUUUAGGGGGGAUUGUGUUUAAAUCAAAUAUAUGUAUUUUAAAAAUAAUGACAUGCUCAACCUUCCUCAUCAUGGAGUAAGAAAAUUCUACAUGAUUAAAGAAUCCAUGUAAGUCUAAUUUUAAAUUCCUAGUAACUAGAGAAAAGACUUAUUUAUAUAAAAUGAAGUAUUUAUGAACUGUGAUAAAGCAUCAAAUCUUGAUGAAGGAUUGUAGAUUUUUGCUUUUUGUUUUUAAAACUUAUUCCAAUUGCUAAAUUGGUAGUUUUUCAGUCUUUAUAAAUACAGGAUUAAAAAUAUAUAUACAGUUAUAUGAAAUGUUUAUUUUCUAUGUGUGUGCAUAUAGUUCAAUAUUAUGCAAUAAAUUUGGUGUUUUAACUUAAAACUAUUUCUUAUUGUACUUGCAGAAUGGAUAGCUUGCUUUCAGUAGAAGCAUUAGGUCAUAUACUCAGAUAAACUGAUAGAAGGUCAGAUUUGAUUCCUGCAUGAGAAAGUAGAGCCAAGUGCUGCAGAAAUGGAGAAGAAAGCAGGGGCAAGGGCAGAUGGCAUUAAGGAAGAAUGAAGUUUUUGAAGGUUGGGAUGGAUGAAAAGGUGUUUCUCAUGGAGAGGGAGGCUUUAGCAAAGGCUCAAACAUUGGGGCAUAUUUAGGUAAGAGCCAGGAACAGUUUGAAGGGAACAUCAGAGGAAAUAGGCAAAUAAUAGUAAAUAAUGGUAAGUAAGACUUGGGAGAAAGAAGGUAGAUUUGGGGCUGAGGAACUAGCCUAACACUGGAACUUUAGCAGUAGUCAAGUAGGAUUUGUUUCAAUGUUCAGAACCUGAGGGUGGUAAGACCUGAGCCGGGUCUUAAGAAGGAAAAUGUGGAUGGUCUAAAUCUGGAGGUAUUGAGGUGGGAAGGACUGAAGCAGAAAGACAGGAGCUGAGACAGCAGUGACAGUGGCAGCAGCAGAACUAGGGAAGAGUGUCUGAGGAGAGGUAGGGGGAGUGAGUGGAGGGGCUAGGAGCCUGCAGGGAGAAGGAGGCGCUAAAGGUGGAUCAGAGACUGGUUCAUUUAAUGAUUGGUGAUUGUUAGGCCACUUAAGCACACCAAAAGUUUGUGAGACACAGAAAAAAAGAAAAAAAGGAUUUUAAGUAAAUUGGUAAAGCAAGUAAAAUGUAUUGUUUUGCCAGAUUAAAAAGGUAGUAAAGAGAAUAGGAGCUUUCCAUUAAUAAGCUCCAUUCAACAAACAUUUAAUAAUCUACAUAAGUGCUACAUUUGAGGGGUUAAAAACAAACCCCACUAUAUUUAAUUUUGCACAGAAAUUGCCAAAUUAUUUUAGCUAACUUUGAGGCCUCAGAAUUCUCAUCCAUGAAAUGAGAUUGGAUCAGAUAAUUUCUAAGUUUACUUUGAGCUCUAAAAUUUUAUAAUUCCAUUACUGAGAGAGUGCCUGAACAUAGAGAUACCCAAUACAUAUUUCUAAAGAUUUGUCGCAUGAAUGAAAUCUCGUGCUGCUUCUAAAACACUAUGAUUUUUCUAAGAUAGUUUCCUUUUCCCCUUCAUUACCAAUGCUUUAGAGGACUUACAUCUUCUGCAUAGGCAUUUCUGGAUUUGCCUACCCACCUACCAACCUUCCGUCCCCUGAAAACUUUCAGAUGCUUCUUCAUUGUUUUAGUCAUUUACCACUUUAAUGAAAUUAUCUGGCAACUUUAUUGUGGUGGGUGGGGAUCAAUGACAGUGUAAUGAGGCAAUUAGCAAAUUCUGAUGGUUCCAUCUAGUCCAUGUGAAAGUCUCUUGAUGUUUUAUAUGGUACUCUUACUAAUAAUCCCAGAGAGCAGGGGUUGGCAAACUAUGGCCCAUGGGCUAAAACAGUUUUUACAUUUUAAAAGGGUUGAAAACUUUAAAAAUGGAAGGAAAUAUGACAGAGACUGGAUGGCCUAACAUAUUAUCUAGCCCUUUACAGAAAAAAACUUACCAAUCCUUAUGAGGGAGACUUGCCAAAAUCACAGUAACAGAGUGAAAAACCUUCUUGAAGUGUUAGGAGGAACUUGAGUCAUCAUUUGAUGUUGAAUCAGAGAGAACAACUCUUUGGGCUUAUUUGCCUCAGAGGUAAGAAAAUCAAGUUUUAACUAAGAUUAACCCACAGAAGUAGAUAUUAAUACUAAGGUUUUGACCUAAUAAUAACUAACCUGUAUUAAUUGUGUGCGGUGUACCAGACCCGUAUGAGAUCCUGCACCAACAUUUGCUAUGCACUAACUAGUUUAAUUGCCAUUACCAGGGUCCUCCUGGCUCUGCUAUUUACUAGCUGUUUGACCUUGGGCAGGUUUCUUAACCUCUCUCUGUCUCAUUUUCUUCCUCUUCAAAAUGAGAACAGAAAUAGUGCCUACCUCAUGGAGUUGUUGUGAGGAUUAAAUGAAUUAAUGGAAAGCAUAUAGAAUAGCGCUUAGCACAUAAUAAGCUCUCAGUAAUUAGAAUUACCAUUAUUAUCCCAGUUUUUCACAUGAAGGAAUUAAUGUUUGGAGAAAAUAGUUGCUCAUUAUCACAAAAUAGUGGGACCUGGACUUGACUAUUAAUCUGUGUUAUGCCCAGCUGCUAGAGAGGGGCAACAAAUUGGACUAAGGCUGCUCAGUAGCCAAAUAAAAAGGAAUGUUGUAAUGUGGCAGGUAACUUCUUUGACCACAUAUCUGCGAAGACAUCGCACUGAGUUCCGCGUAUCUGCAAUGACAUCACACUGAGUUUUGUUUUGCUGCCAGUGUGCAAUUCAGUAGUGAUCAGUGCAGUUCUCAUGUCAUUUGCAGUGGGUCUCAAGUGAAGCUGGAGGUCUCUGUUGGUAGUUAGUAGCCAGGAAGCAGGUAUGCUUAAUGCCUUGCAUUGCAUAGAACAAUUCCUCUUUAUCCUGCCCAAGAUGCCAGUGGGCACUGCUAUGGUCUGAAUGUUUGUUUCCCUCUUAAAAUUUAUGUGUUGAAACCUAACCCCCAAGAUGAUGGUAUUAGGAGGUGAGGUCUUUGGGAGGUGAUUAUAUCAUGAGGGCAGAACCUCAUGAGUGGUAUUAGUUCCCUUAUAAAAGAGAACCCAGAGAGGUGCCUUGCCCUCCCUACCAUGUGAGGACACAGCAGGAAGGCACAAUGUGUGAGAAAGUAGGCCCUUGCCAGACACCACCAGUGCUUUGAUCUUGGAUUUCCCAGCCUGCAGAACUGUGAAAAAUAAAUUCCUGUUGUAAAUUACCUAGUGUUUGGCAUUUUGUUAUAGUGGCUUGACUGGACUAAGACAAGCCCCUUUGUAAAACACAGAGAGGGAUGGACUUCAUACCCUUUAGGGGAUCCUUCUCUGUAGAAUUCUUUUUUUCAGAAGACUAUUUUUUUCUUUUAUUAAUAAGCUUUUUAUUUUUGAAUACUUUUUUAUUGGUACAUGGUUGCACCUAUUAUGGGGUACUUGUGAUAUUUCGAUACAAGCAUACAAUGCAUAAUGAUGAAACCUAGGUAAUUAAGAUAUCAAAACAUCUAUCAUUUCUUUUUGUUGGUUACAUUCCAAAUGUUCUAGCUAUUUUUAAACAUACAAUAAAUUAUUAAAUAUAGCCACCCUAUUGUGCUAUCAAACAAUAGAGCUUAUUCCUUCUAUCUAACUGUAUUUUUGUACCCAUUAACCAACCUCUUUUUACCCCUCUCCUCCUAGUAUUUGCCCAGCCUCUGGUAACUAUCAUUCUAUUCUCUACCUGCAUGAGAGCAACUUUCGUAGCUCCCACAUUUGAAUGAGAACGUGCAAUAUUUGUCUUUCUGUGCCUGGCUUAUUUCAGUUAACAUCGUGACCUCCAGUUCAUCCAUGUUGCUGCAAAUGGGAUUCAGAAUGUGUUGCUGGACUUCAAGAUAGGAAGAAUCUUUGCCUUGAUGGCUGAUGAUAGUAACCACCCCACCUACCACCAUCUAUUAAGAAUUUACUGUGUGGUCACUUUACAGUCAUCCAAGUAAAUUUUCGUAAUCACCUGAUUACACGGGUACUGCUUUUCAGAAAAAGAAACAGAUUUCUGGAGGUAAGUAACCCAAAUUGUACAGCUGAGCCAUCUGUCUGCAUCUCAAGCAUUGAGGCAGCAUUCGGCCUCCGAGGGUGUUAUCAAAUGUGCUGGUCUUUGUUAACUCAGGGUUUUGGAUUAAUUGGUGGAGCUGCUCAUUUCACCCAGGAUGCAGUCUGCACCCUCUAUUUAAAGUGAGGUCCCUGGACGAGCAACACGGCAGCACCUGGCUGCUUGUCAGCAAUGCAGAACAUCAGGCACUUCCUGGAGCUACAGCACAAGAUCCCCAGGCAGGCGCAUGUGCAUCCAAGUUUGAGCCGCACUGCUUUCUGCUACUACGGAGGGAUAUAUCCUUUACUCUCUCCCUCCCCUUUGUCUCCUCUUGUCUGGUAAUUUUAAAUUAUUUAAAAGUUAUAGAAAAUCAUAGUGUCUCAAAAUGGCUUACCAAGAAAUACUCAAAGCUGUAGGAUCAGAGGCUUGACAUGAAAAUUUCUGUGCAUCUUUGAAUUGCUUUACAGAAAUCAAAGAAAAAUCCAGAUACCUAAAAGAUUAUAAUUUCAGAAUUCAUAGUAACAUGGGGAUCUUCUUGGAGUCAGAACUGAGUUCUUGCUGAGGUUUGCCUUGGGCCCUGUCUCCAGGCAGCUGCAGCAUAACACGGAGUCACCCUUCCUGUCUAAGCCUUGUGGCUGGAGGGGAAGAGUGAGGACCAAGCUGUCAACAGUCCCAGACCUGCCAAGCCCCAUUUGUCUGUGUGCUUGCCAGGAUUCUAAGACUGCAUUUGGGAAUUUUGACUUUUACUGAAUGUGAAAUUCUGUGUAUAAUAGCCUUGGUGAGCUGACCCAGUCAGGGAUGACUCUGAUAUACUUUGUCUUACAGGAUUCAGAAUCCAUAGCUAGAAGAGGUAGUAAGGCCACUGGGAGGGCCUGUCUCUCCUCAGCCCACCCCGACCCCCUGUGUGGGUCUUCAUUCUGAAAUUUCCAUUCAGGUACUUCACAGUUCUGCAAACUAUGAUAGGACUAGAAGUGAAGACAUUGGUUAAGGGGUUCAGAGGACAUCAGGCUUUAUACUAGGCUGUGGAACCUGGUGUUCUUGGGCUUGUGUAACUUUCUGGUCCCUCAAAAGAGGCAACAUCAGAAGAUUGAAGAAAAUGAGAGUCACUAAAUACAGCUUGUCGUUUCUGCCCAAAUUUUAUUACUUGAGCCCAGAGUUACCAAAAUUAUUCAUGAUGAGCUUCAGUUUUGGCAGGACAGCAUUAACUUGCAUCUGUGUUAGCAGUAUUGCAUCUUUGUACUCUGAAGUCAGACAGAUCUGAGUUUGAAUCCUUGUUUUAGCACUAGGACCUUAUUCCAAGCCUUUUUUAUUUUUUAAUUUCAGGCUUAGCGUAUUUCUAAUGGUUACUUUCUGUCAUUUAGAGGAUGUAUAGCAGCACAUAGUUUAAAGGACACUGCAUGCCUACCCACCAUGGCAGCUUUCUGUCCCCAGCUGUUAGGUGGGGCAUGGAGCUGCCCCACCUGCUGCCCAACUCUCCAGGCUAUUCGAGGCCUGAGCGAGGAGGGCACACUUGGCCAGGGAUAGGAACAGGCAGUGCAAAGGGCGAGGUGCUCCCUCCACACGACUGAAAUGUGUCUUUCUCCAAGUCUCUCAGUUCUCUGGUGGCCUUAUAGUAAAUGGCUAAUGUAUUUAUUCAUGAUGGCCUCAUUGGCUUUGGAGAUGUACUUAAUUUUUAAAAAUUUGCUUCAAUGCCCUCAUUUCUGCACUUCUCCAGCGCUUUCUAUGAAUUUUUUAAAGGCAACUGAGCCAUGAGAGCACAAGCCCAUUUUUCUAGUUACAAAACGGACAUGCCUGAAGUGUACGCUCAGCUCGCAUCACCUUCCAAUGCCCUGCCUGGAGAUAGAACAACAAAAACUUAAUCCUCAGGAGGCUUCUGAGGGGCUCCAGGGAGUCACAGGAUUACUUAAAGAAGGGAAAGGUCAGACCCUGAUCCUGAUGCUACUGUCAAAAAUUCUAGCACUUUCAUAGUUUAAAAUAUUUUACAUUUACACAAAAUAGUCAUGUAUAAAAUGUUUUUUGUUCAGUUUACAUUUUUAAAAAGGACAAUGGUAAUUUCAAAUGCCUUCUGCUUACAUGUCAUGUAAAUAUUGUUAGGAGCCCAUAUUUUUUACAAAAACUGUUUGUGGAGAUUUUCAUGACUGUAUAGGUGUUUUCAGUUGGAGGAUUUGCCAAACCUGUGUUUUGAGGCACACACAUGAUCUCUGCUUGGGAAAGUGGCCAGUGCCACUGUGCAGUGCCCAGCAUUUCUACGUGACCCUGGUUUGGUGUGUGCUGUGUUGGUCACCACUUAAAGUAGAGCCAGUGUGCACAAUUUGAAUAUAUAAAAAUUUGAAAAUAUGUUUAGCCAGUCUACUCUUUAGUACAUUUUGAGUGUCAAGUGGAAAAAAACAGUAAAAGGAAAUUAAUGAAGGAAAGGAAAGCAUUUUCUGAGUUCUGUCAAACACAAGAGCUUCAGAGGAAACAGUGCUUCAAGACUGUAGUAUAGUUUGUCCCUCCUCAUUGAUUUAACUAAGUGGAUACUGAAAAAAUAGCACAGAGGCAUUGAUCUUGGUGCAGAAACCACCUCUCCCCGACUAGGGGAAAAUAAACUAGCAAGGAGCGUGUCAGGAAGACCCCUCUUGAAAGCAAAGCAAAGCAGAAUUUAGACUACAGCUAGCUUUCACAAAGCUGUUAACAGUUUAUGGUGUUCAACUAUAAAUAUAUCACCAAAAGCAUAAGGUGUUACUCUUAAGAAAAGGGCGUCUUCAUCAGAUUAAAAAGCUCUAAAACCAAAAAUUAUCCAAACUUAAACUCUGAUCGGUUCUGGACACAGGGCCCAAUUCUGUCUCUGGAGAACUAGGCAACCCCUGGGCAGAACCAGCUUGAUUAGCACCAUGGCCAUCCCUUUAUGCUGAUAAUAAACCUAAAUAUUCACCUUAUAAGGAAUUCUAAGCUCAACCACAUUUACAAAUGCUCAGCCCUCAGGGUUCCAAGACUGCUGGUCUUGGGACACCUUAGUGCGGCAUUUAUGACACAACACAGCUCUGAGGCAUUUGUCCUUGGCUAGAAAUGUCACACCUGGGAGCAGGCACACCCUGUAAGAGGCUAUUCCCCUGCCACCCAAGCAAUGAAUUAUGAUGAGACAAAGCAAAAAUUACACUGAUAUUACAGAGAUAUCACUGAUCCCUGCAAUGAAUAAUAAUCUUUUGACUUUGAACUGGUAGGCAAAUGGAAGAAAUCUUAACAGCUGAAAACAUCCUAGCUGGUAAUUAAAAAAAUAAUUAGUACUCCAGUUUGAAAUUUGGUUUGGUCUUUCAUGGAAAUUUUCCCUCACUUGGGAGGUCACCAAAAUUGUGCUAGCUUUUUUUAUUUUUUUUUUUAAAGCAGCACAGGACAAACUUCUACCAUCUUGAAAAACUUCUAAGCUGUCCCUUAUCCUAAAUCUUGCACCUACAAGUCUUAGAAAGUGAAAUCUGAACUAAAUGAUUCAAAGAUGAAACAUAAUGAUAUACUUAAUAUAAACAUCUAUUUCAAUGUUUACACCAGACUGAACACAAUAAAAGUACUUAUGAAAAUUAUAAGUUUACUUACACUUAUGAAAUAACUCGACAUUUAUUUUGUUGGCAUGUGCUAAUAAACACAUAUUCCCAAGACAGCAAAGGAAAAUUCCCAGUCCAGAGCAUUCUGUCUUUGUGAAGCCAAUUAAGACACCACCACUAGUGCCCUGAGAUUCUGGGCUGCAGAAAUGGUUGCAGGGGAACAUAUCUCCCUUGGCAGAGCCAGAAACCACUGACUAACAAACAUUUCUUCAAAUAAGAUCUAGUGUGAAAAGGGCUUCCCCUCAUUUCAUCUGGGCUCCAUUCCAUGAAGAAUGUAAGUUAGUGGAAAUUACAAAGGAAAACACAACAUCUCAUACACUAUUUUAUAUAACUUGGUGUUUUCUUUUAUUGAAUCAUACAAAUUCAAAUGGGGAUUCCUGAAUAAAUCUUUUUGUUAAUUUACCUUUGGCAGAAACAACAGAUUCCAAAACAAUUAGUAGCAUCUCAUUUAUUUGUAGCUUAAAAAAAAAUUCUGUAGCGUAUUUUCCAAAAACAUAGUCUUAAACAAAUGUGCUUUAAAAGCUCAGUGGUAAUGAUCUGAUUAAUAUCAUAGCUUAUUUAAGAGAGCUAUUAAAGGACAGACUAGACAUGUAUUUUUAAAAAAACACAAUUUUUGGUCAUGUGAAUGAUUCAUGUUCAGAUUUCAAAAAUAGGAAACAUCCUAAAGUGCAUCAUUUUAUUUAUAAUCUCACUCCUUGAAAUUAUAGCAAUCUGCAAUGUAAACAGUAGAGCAAAGAAUUCCAAACUAUAUUUUUAUGUACAUUUAAACCUGUAGGAUUAUGUACCGUCUUUGUGUGUGGAUUAAAACCAGGGCACUUCCAACACAUAGCUCAAGCUUCCAUACGAUUAAGAGCAAACUUACUUAAAGGCAUUCUUUCUCCCCAUCCUUAACAUUCAGCUGACAGAGGAGAGCUGCUGCCUCACUUCAGCAAUGGAAAAUGUUGCUGUAAAUCCCAUCGGACCAGCCAGUUUCUCACGACCCU